CCGUGUUUUUUUUUAACAUAGAACAAGCCAAAUAUUUUUAAUUUGUUUUUCUUCAAAUUUGGUCACUUUCUUUUGGACUCAUCCUGUAGUUGGUUCAACCGGUCACAUGGGAUUAAACUUGAUGAAUACAUCCUGAAAAUGUCUUUGGGGAUAAUGACAGUAUAUGGAUGUGAUUGGACGGAGGAGCAGAUAUAUAAAGUGUUUGAGGACCUACAUGGAUCUGUUUGGGCCUAUAACGACAUCCAUUCACUAGGAAUCAAAUUUAGUACAAUUGGUUUUCGAUUUCAUCCAUAUAACUAUUCAUCUUCUUUUUCGUAUAUG